CUCUGCUAGUCCUUCUGGGAUCCGCUCGGAGGGGACCCAACGCCUAGCUUGGAGAUGGGUGGAGCGAGCUCUGUAAAGCAAUUGAACGUCAUUGGUGAUGACUCCAUCUUGCUGUCCUUAGGAUGACGUCACUGUUCUGUCUCCUCGAUGGUGAUCAUUCCUCCAAGAAGCUCUUUCUAAUUCCUACUCAGCAUUUUGGCCACUCCCACAUUCUAUCCUACAUUCUAUCCCCACCCCCUUAAAGACCUGAGGAAGUCUGGUGAGCCUGUAGAGGAGCCAUCCUGCCCUUGUUCUCAUCACCCAGCCCAUUCCUUUCUUCCCAUGCAUGGUCUUGGAAUGUCUCUUCCUUGGUAGUCUGGAAGACAUCAAAAGGCUGAAGUUAACAGAGUGAGCUGAUUCACUGCUCCAUUUUGGGGCUUGACGAGACCCAGAUGGCAGAGAUGAAGAAGUGAAGGCCUGGAGUUGGGGAAAGUGUGAUGAAAUGCCUCAUACGCUUAAAAUACACCAUUGAGAUUCUCAGGUGUUCUGAGCUUAGGGUGGGUUGUGACUACUUAAAGAGACAGCGAUGCUGAAAUAUCAGUUAACUAAUUACACCACACACACACACACACACACACACACACACGAGCUGUGGCACUCUGGGGAUCGGCCAACCAAGGCACAAGGUAAGAAGGGAAGGGACAGACAAAUGUGGUCAAGUCAAGAGUCCCUUAACCUCGGUGCACUAGACCCAAGUGACCUUCAUUUCUCCCUCCCAUACCUGGGAAAGAAUAUGAAUCCAUGAAGAUGGUAGGCGGAACCGUGAAGGCCAGAGAUGUGCUUCCAGAAGUAGGCAGCUAGCGGAGGGAGAAUGCCAGUGCCCUGGAAUGUGAUCUGCUAGCGAGAAGGAUGGCAUGGCACUGGUCUCCAUCCCUGGCCUGGUGCAGACUUCAGGACUGUCUUUGCUACUGAGACUGCUCUCUGGCCUCUGUGAAUGUGUGUAUGUGUGUGUUGCACACAUGCACACGUGUGCAUGUGCAGACCCAGGAGGGGGUGAUUUCUUUUGUGCAUGGUCAAGCCACACUCAGCCCAUGACUUCUGUAUAAUGCAACUGGUUACUUAGACUUGCUGGGACUAGGUAUAGUGCUACUAGGUGGGAUGCUGGGGCCUGGCUCCCUGACUCAUGCUGAGCAGUGCAUGUCAGGUGCCUGGGUAUGAGUUGGCUAUAACAUCCCUAUUCCUCUGGGCACUGUGUAGGCUGAUAAACUGAAGACUGUCUCAGUAGUGACAGUGACGUGGCCAUAAGCCCCAGGCUCCUGCUGUUAGGCUAGCAUGGAGUCUUUCUAGGAGGACAUGUAGAAAUCAGGUGUGAGGUUUGUGACGUGUUUCCCUUUCUCAGAAGAAGCCUGGUUUCUUUGUCAGGUCUGCUAUCAUUGCUCCUUCCGUGGCCAGUGUCUUCUCUUCCAGAAGUGACUCCAGGUUAAAGGUAAAGGUUCCUGAAGUAACAAGUGCUGUGUGAGGCAGGACUUUGACCUCUGACCUGCACAACCAACUGGAUUUGGGACUGGGUCCUUAGAGAAAGAUUUUUGAGUCUUGGGGACCUGGAGGUUCCCCUUUUCUAUGAAGGAGGCAUAGUUGAGAAGAACCCCCAGUUACUGGACCCUUGCCAGUCAUGAAGAUCUAGUCAUGAAGCGAAAUGAUUAACUGCCCCAUUCUUAGGCUGCCCAGCUGCCUUCUGUACACCACAAGGAAUUCAAGACGAACUAACUCAAGCCACCAGGAUUCCAGGUCUUUCGGAAAGCCACCACCCUCUACCCUUUCCUUUCCCUGGACAGCUUUGAAUCCAUUUCCUUAUCGGCUCCACUCUGGAGUGCUGGCAUGGUCGGGGGAGGGGGCCAGUCUAUAGAGAGACUACAGUCAUUUCAAGCCUGGCUCUUAAACUGAAGAAUUGAUGUUUAACUGUUUAUUCAAUGUGUAUUUGAAAUACAGAUCAAGCAAAUAGGCCACAGAACUAUCAGUGGCCUCUGAUCCCAACCCAAAACAGUUGCUGUAAAAGGCAGCUUUAAAAGCCUUGGCUGGCUCUUGGCUCCGUGGCAGUGAACCAGCUAUGCCCUGCCCAUUGUAGACGCAUGUGGCAUGUGAACACCUGUGUUCUGCAGUGUGCCAAGACAGUGAGCUGAGAGGCUAGGAAUGAAUAGAGAUGGAGGACUGAUUUGAUUGUUCAAUAUUGACUAUUCAAAUUUGGUAAGGAGUAGACUUUUUUUUGGAACAGUUUUAGGUUUACAGAAAACUUGGGUGGACAGCACAGGCCUCCAUACCUUCUUGGUCUGCACACAGCUUCUGUGUGCAAAUAAAAUACACUAAAAAAGUCAAUAAAGAUAUU
rnacentral:lncRNA from 1 species